rnacentral:rRNA from 1 species
GACGAACGCUGGCGGCGUGCUUAACACAUGCGAGUCGAACGGAAAGGCCCUGCUUUUGUGGGGUGCUCUGGUUGCGAACGGGUGAGUAACACUUGAGUAACCUGCCCUUGACUUUGGGAUAACUUCAUGAAACUUGGGCUAAUACCGGGUAGGAGCUCCUGCUGCAUGGUGGGGGUUGGAAAGUUUCGGCGGUUGGGGAGGGACUCGCGGCUUAUCAGCUUGUUGGUGGGGUAGUGUCUUACCAAGGCUUUGACGGGUAGCCGGCCUGAGAGGGUGACCGGCCACAUUGGGACUGAGAUACGGCACAGACUCCUCCGGGAGGCAGCAGUGGGGAAUAUUGCACAAUGGGCGGAAGCCUGAUGCAGCCAAGCCGCGUGCGGGAUGACGGCAUUCGGGUUGUAAACCGAUUUCGCCUGUGACGAAGAGUGAGUGACGGUAAUGGGUAAAGAAGCACCGGCUAACUACGUG